rnacentral:miRNA from 1 species
AAAGUGGUGGGACAUACAUUGAUU